GCGAGUUGGCGGGCGACCGACGGGCCCUUCGGGGCCUGAGGAAACUCCACCCUCCAUGUGGAACCGCGAUGCCGCGAGGCAUAGGGGGAGACCCCUGCUCUUGGAUCAGAAACGGUACGCCCGGAAGCGGAUGCCAAUGACGUGGCUCUAGCCAUCGAGAAUGCUUCCGGUCACGUUGAAACGGCCAAUCCGCGGGGAGCAAGGGCAAAUAGAGGUCCAUGAGGUCCACGCGAGACCCGGGUAGCCUGCAUAGUCGAAUGUCGCCUAAAACAGAAGGUGGGUUACGGCCAACACGC
rnacentral:RNase_P_RNA from 1 species